rnacentral:rRNA from 1 species
CCUACGUGUGGCAGCAGUGAGGAAUAUUGGUCAAUGGGCGCGAGCCUGAACCAGCCAAGUAGCGUGAAGGAUGACUGCCCUACGGGUUGUAAACUUCUUUUAUAAAGGAAUAAAGUGAGGCACGUGUGCCUUUUUGUAUGUACUUUAUCAAUAAGGAUCGGCUAACUCCGUGCCAGCAGCCGCGGUAAUACGGAGGAUCCGAGCGUUAUCCGGAUUUAUUGGGUUUAAUGGGAGCGUAGAUGGGUUGUUAAGUCAGUUGUGAAAGUUUGCGGCUCAACCGUAAAAUUGCAAUUGAUACUGGCAGUCUUGAGUACAGUUGAGGUAGGCGGAAUUCGUGGUGUAGCGGUGAAAUGCUUAGAUAUCACGAAGAACUCCGAUUGCGAAGGCAGCUUACUAAACUGCAACUGACAUUGAUGCUCGAAAGUGUGGGUAUCAAACAGGAUUAGAUACCCUUGUAGUC